rnacentral:rRNA from 1 species
UAACAUUCUGAAAAGAAUGCUAAUACCGCAUGACAUAUCGGAACCACAUGGUUCUGAUAUCAAAGAUUUUAUCGCUUGAAGAUGGACUCGCGUCCGAUUAGUUAGUUGGUGAGGUAACGGCUCACCAAGACCGCGAUCGGUAGCCGGACUGAGAGGUUGAACGGCCACAUUGGGACUGAGACACGGCCCAGACUCCUACGGGAGGCAGCAGUGGGGGAUAUUGCGCAAUGGGGGCAACCCUGACGCAGCAACGCCGCGUGAAGGAUGAAGGUUUUCGGAUUGUAAACUUCUUUUAUUAAGGACGAAAAAUGACGGUACUUAAUGAAUAAGCUCCGGCUAACUACGUGCCAGCAGCCGCGGUAAUACGUAGGGAGCAAGCGUUGUCCGGAUUUACUGGGUGUAAAGGGUGCGUAGGCGGCUUUGCAAGUCAGAUGUGAAAUCUAUGGGCUCAACCCAUAAACUGCAUUUGAAACUGUAGAGCUUGAGUGAAGUAGAGGCAGGCGGAAUUCCCCGUGUAGCGGUGAAAUGCGUAGAGAUGGGGAGGAACACCAGUGGCGAAGGCGGCCUGCUGGGCUUUAACUGACGCUGAGGCACGAAAGCGUGGGUAGCAAACAGGAUUAGAUACCCUGGUAGUCCACGCUGU